AACGAACGCUGGCGGCAGGCCUAACACAUGCAAGUCGAGCGAAGCCUUCGGGCUUAGCGGCGGACGGGUGAGUAACGCGUGGGAACGUGCCCUUUGCUACGGAAUAGCCCCGGGAAACUGGGAGUAAUACCGUAUGUGCCCUUCGGGGGAAAGAUUUAUCGGCAAAGGAUCGGCCCGCGUUGGAUUAGGUAGUUGGUGGGGUAAUGGCCUACCAAGCCGACGAUCCAUAGCUGGUUUGAGAGGAUGAUCAGCCACACUGGGACUGAGACACGGACCAGACUCCUCCGGGAGGCAGCAGGGGGGAAUCUUAGACAAUGGGGGAAACCCUGAUCUAGCCAUGCCGCGUGAUCGAUGAAGGCCUUAGGGUUGUAAAGAUCUUUCAGUGGGGAAGAUAAUGACUGUACCCACAGAAGAAGCCCCGGCUAACUCCGUGCCAGCCGCCGCAGUAAGAC
rnacentral:rRNA from 1 species